rnacentral:rRNA from 1 species
GNAUGGGGGAACCCUGAUGCAGCGACGCCGCGUGAAGGAAGAAGUAUCUCGGNCANNUAAACUUCUAUCAGACAGGGNAAGAUAGUGACGGUACCUGACUAAGAAGCUCCGGCUAAAUACGUGCCAGCAGCCGCGGUAAUACGUAUGGAGCAAGCGUUAUCCGGAUUUACUGGGUGUAAAGGGAGUGUAGGUGGCCAUGCAAGUCAGAAGUGAAAAUCCGGGGCUCAACCCCGGAACUGCUUUUGAAACUGUAAGGCUGGAGUGCAGGAGGGGUGAGUGGAAUUCCUAGUGUAGCGGUGAAAUGCGUAGAUAUUAGGAGGAACACCAGUGGCGAAGGCGGCUCACUGGACUGUAACUGACACUGAGGCUCGAAAGCGUGGGGAGCAAACAGGAUUAGAUACCCUGGUAGUCCAAGGGCGAAUUC